rnacentral:rRNA from 1 species
AUUGAACGCUGGCGGCAGGCCUAACACAUGCAAGUCGAGCGGGGUUUUCGGACCUAGCGGCGGACGGGUGAGUAAUGCGUAGGAAGCUGCCCGAUAGAGGGGGAUACCAGUUGGAAACGACUGUUAAUACCGCAUAAUGUCUACGGACCAAAGUGUGGGACCUUCGGGCCGCAUGCUAUCGGAUGCGCCUACGUGGGAUUAGCUAGUUGGUGAGGUAAUGGCUCACCAAGGCGACGAUCUCUAGCUGGUUUGAGAGGAUGAUCAGCCACACUGGAACUGAGACACGGUCCAGACUCCUACGGGAGGCAGCAGUGGGGAAUAUCGGACAAUGGGCGCAAGCCUGAUCCAGCCAUGCCGCGUGUGUGAAGAAGGCCUUCGGGUUGUAAAGCACUUUCAGCGAGGAGGAAGGGUGGUGUGUUAAUAGCACAUCAUUUUGACGUUACUCGCAGAAGAAGCACCGGCUAACUCUGUGCCAGCCGCCGCCGUAAAAC